CGUUUUGGUGACUCCUCUUAUGU
rnacentral:piRNA from 1 species